CCUGCAAGUCCUCGCCAGAGCAGGUGGGCGAGAAGAAGCCUACAGAAGCGUCCGAAUUGGGAAGGAAGAAGCCAUGUCGUUUCUCUUGGCUGAUGACGCCAUCUUACCUAAGACUACCUCUCUUUGCUGAUGACGUCAUCCUACCUAAAGACAACCCAAGGUCUCAACCAGAAACUGCCCUCACUGGUCACCGUCAGGUCGCAGGAUCGCAGUGAACACACGAACUCCCGUCAGCGCUCCAAGGGAGAUCCACACAGCUCCACUUAGCAGAGCCCAGACCUCCAACAGCCUGGAGUGCAUUCCUCUGCUGCAGGAGGGCCCUGGACAGCCAGCCGCGAUUCUCUGCCAAGGACACAGCGGGUCUGAGAGACACCUACCUGAGAGUGUCAGCCGUGUCUACAAACACCGCCUGUUGUGGACCACUCACCUGUUGUGCUUCUUCUGGUUGCUGGCAUCUUUGGGCUCAUGUGAAUGAGGCUGCU